AUAUUUCAAUACUCGUUCAAACGAGCAAUAAAAUGCGUGUAAUUGUCGAAAAUAACGAAGUUAUUCGCUUCCCGGGGUCCGGAAUCCCCCUGCUUUUGGUUCAGCCCGCGCAGUCACAGGACGGCGAGCUGGCGACGUCACCGGCUCGAGAAAACCAGCCCCCGAAAUUCUCAGAACUAAUUUAUAUUCUGUGACUUGAACGGCGCACCGUGCCGCUGCCUUCCGUCGCAUUUAACACACAUACAGUCCAUACAUGAGCUGCGCAGAGACAGAGCGCUGAAUUAGGUCCGUGCGGACAGGUCGAUGUCUCUGCCUUGCUUUUGGGGCUCUUGUCAGUUUGUAGGCGCAUUUCCCUGCGGCCAGCUGAGCACCAGUCUGCAGCAGCAAGUAGGGAAGGGGCAGCACCUGCAGGCACAGGUGAUCUCCGGAAGUUUCCCAGAGGUCUCAUUUUACGGACUUUGAAACCAGCAGUAAGAGGGAACGUUUUCCGUUUGAAGACUUUCCUCCCCUCAGAAACCUUUAAAGACUUUCUAAAACAACCCUCCCUCCCUCUCUCUUUCCCACUUCAGCAAGAGUGACAUCUCCCAGAGGAGUGCCCGAGCAUCCGCCCAUUUGCAGCCGGAAUCCCUCCAAAAAAUAACAGCAACAAAAAAAGAAACACUUCAGCAAUCUCCGAUUCAGCACUGCCAAAUAAAGACGGCACGGAGCUCCAAACAAAGAGCAGCGUCAACUUUAUUUCAAUCCACUUGGGGGACGUUUGAGGCGCUCCGGCGCGGUUUAUGCAUAAUGCACGGCCAUAAACCAUCCAGGAGUUAGGAGGGAGACGUGUAAUUUACCAAGGCCUCAUGCUGUGCCCCCGCUAUACGGGGAUGAGAUAAUUACCGCAAAUCCUUGGCAAACUUUUUACUCCACCAAUUUCUUUUUUUCCUAAAGAAAAAAACCCCCAGUAAUAAUAAAUGACCCACUUAGAGAGGGGCAGAUCAAUGUGCCCCCGUCUGAACCCUCCGUGUUAUCAAACUGCACCGGUUAAUCCUAAUUGUCUCCGUUCAGGCUGCAGAAUUAAACAUUGUUCUGUUUGACGGCUUUCAGAAAUCAAGCUCACCCGCUGAAUUCAUUUUAACGAAAAUAAUAAUAAUAAUAUUAUUAUUAAUAAUAAUAGUGUGAAUCGCUGCCUAUCCAGUCGGUGCGCCGCAGGGUCACCGACCAGAAGUGCCCACUGACAAAAGCCCGAGGCCCGGAGGUUGCCUCACUUUACCUCCUCCCUCCUCCUCCUCUUCAUAAAUUGCACUUUUUUUUUGUCUCGUUUCACAGCAAAUUUCUGCCAACUUCAGUGUUCAUUGUCAGCAAAGAUGAGUGCAGAGUUUUGUUCUGAGAGGCAUGAUGCAACCGCGCUGUAACACCAAACAGAUAAUGCUGUUAGCUACAGAGGUCUUUUUAGUUCCUUUCUUUAAAAGAUUUUCUUUUUAUAUUGUUAAGUUUCACUUUUUUUACCCCCUCCCCCCUUCCCUUUCUUGUUUUUUUUUCCCCUUCUCUCUCUCUUCACUCGCAUGUAAGCUCGUCUUUCUGCGCGGCGGAUGCGUGGAAACCAUCACAAGGAGACUUGCAUUCAUAUCAUUUCACCUUGAUCGUCUGUUUAAAGGCGUCACAGGAAAACCUACUGUACAUGCGCACAUCAUUUAUAAAACAGGUAAAAGAGAUUGAGAUGUAAAAAAAAAAAAGAAUGAUGUAUGUGGUGGUGGAGGAGGGUGACUUCAAAAGACUUUCUGUGCAGGAGUGAAUUUCUUUUGGAGGUUUGCCUCAUGCUUUUUAAAAAAUGUUUUAUAUUAAUUAACACAGACGACUUCUAUUCUGACGGGCAAUCAAGCCCUCCCUGCAACAAAGCUGCUGCGUGUCUCCAUGUUGAAAGCUGUCUUUCAUCCCGUCUGACAAGGUUAAACACAAACAUGAGGAGAAGCUGCUUUUUUUCUUUCUUUUUUUUAAAAAAAAAAAGUUUGUAGGAUCUCACAGUCGGGUUCGGAUUGUUCUUGCUUCAUAAACUGGGCCAGACUUUAGAAAGGGCAGUAGCCCGGGGCGCAAACAACAGGGGGAGGGCGGCAAACUAAUUUUUCGUGUAUAGUGUGCAUGUUCAUAUUAGAGACGCACUGAUCCUGAUAUUACUAUGUAUUGAUCUCGAUAUUGGAAAGAAAAUAUUAGUUGGCCAUUUUAUUUACAUGUUUGACCAAGGUGGUCAAUGUGCUUUUGUCAGUUUCAUUUUGGUGCUAUAAUCCUAAUUGCACUGCCUGAACAAAUUAAAGUCGUUUUUACAUGUUUGACCAAGAUUGUGAACCUAUUGGUGUAUUUAACUGUACUGUACUGGUGCAGAGUUAUCACUUAAAUUUGUAAUUGAGUACAUUUAGGUUUGCGUUUUUUAAAAAUUAAGCGUUUUAAAACAAUUCGACACUGUUUCUGUGUCAGAUCGGUAUCGGCCGAUGUUAAACCUCAGAUAUCGGCAUCGGAAGUGAAAAAAGUUGAUCGGUGCAUCCCUGGUUCAUAUUAAAGUCACGGGCUCGUUUUGCAUCUGGGGUUUUUUGUAAAACAUUGGAUUGUUUUAUUAAUUGAAACUACCCUCAAAUAUUUGGAAAUUACCUAUCCAACAUGGUCCCAAAAUGAUGCCACACAUUUUAAGCCAACCAUACAUCAACUUGUAAAUGCAACAAUACAACAAUAUAGACCUACCUAUAGUUCAGUAAUUUGCCUAAGUAAAAAAAAAAAAAUAUAUAUAUCUAUACAGUAUAUACGUAUAUACAGUAUAUAUACACCAGCAAAUCUGGUUCCAGCCCAGGGGCGCUUAUUCUUCUCAAUCCAUCCUUGUUCAUAUAAAUAUAUAUAUUUUAGCACUUCUGGACAACGAGUGUCUAUUGGUUCCUUCAAAAACGCGCUCUUAAAAAGUAAGUUUGCAGAAAGUUUUCUGCAGCGCUUUGGCGAUUCACCUUGAGAUUUGUUUGCUUUGCUCCUCCAAGCAAACAACUCGGAGCGCAUUGAGAGCCGAGGUGUGUGAUGGCGUUGGGUGUUUGGUGGGCUGGAAUUUCAAUUUUAGUCAAAUCAUAGCCUGUAUAUUCCGGACUUCCUCUCAAGGCCAUCUGAGAGGAGGCCCAGAAUGAACUCUGCAGAUCCGAACUCGGUGGAAUCUUCCACGCAUACCGGCGUGCCACCUGCUGCACGGUGGCUCAGAUUCCUCCAGCAAACGCAGGAAUGAGACUGACAACGUGCGCGAAUAAUGGGUGCCAUCGUUAAAUCUUUACUGUGUUUGCUCCAGAGCAGCAGGUCUGAGCGGCUGAAAUUUGGGAGAUUACUUCCAAAGCUUUGCCUCCGUAUAUUCAGAGGUAUUCUGUCUUAGACGGGACGCCCCGGAGUGGGCGCUCAGAUAGCCAACAGGUGGCUCUUAUUACUCCGCACCACCCUGGAUAAUGAUCCAAUAGGAACCAUGUGCCUGAAUCACUCCACCUUCUCCUCAUCGCUGCCCCACCAGUUAGGUGUCGAGCUGUGGAUCUCGAUGGGCUGGCUGUGAGAGCAGCUUUUCUUUGUGUCAGUUUUAUCUUCCUUUUUUUUCUUUUAUUUAACUCAAACUGCACAGGAGGAGAUUCCCCAAGAGUUCAUACUCCAAAGCUUUAAAAUUAAUGCUUACUACAUCAUGAAAAACAGUCUCUUAAGGAUUUAUUUUAUUACAAAAGAAUUUUUUUUUUACAGUUACCAUCUUAUGUUCCUUAUUAGGCAUGUCAUAGUUACUGGUACCAAGAAUUAACUUUUUUUUUUUUUUUUUGAGAUAUUUCUGAUUUAAAAUCGUAAAAUUUUCAGGCUCAAUGUUUUUACAUUUGAAAACUGCUUUUAAUGAGAUGGAACUACCCGACUGACCAGCGUUUUCCUGACUGCAUGGAACGUAAGAUAGUAGGGUUGGGCGAUUACGGACUUAAAAUAUUAGAAAUAUUUUGUGGUACUAUCACAAUAACAAUGAAAGUUAUGACAGCAGGUAAUGUUUAGGUAAUUGUAUGGCUCCACAAACACAAAUAGUCUCAUUUGUGAUAUGCGUCUUUGGGACAACAGUCGCAAAAAUAAGUGCGAUUUGUUCCGCUAAACUGCACACGGUAACUGCAUUUACUGAGUUACUGACGAUUAUUGAUAUUUUCAUUGAAAAUACAGUGGAGAAAACAGCAUAACUAUUUUCUCCAUUAGACAGUUUUGGGGGUGUUUAAAAAUCAUCUGUUGUAAUUUAUUGCACCAACAAUUACACAAAAUGAUCAGAAGAAAUUUACCACAAUAAACGAUACGAUAAACGUCCUACAGAUGGUCCCUCCAUUACAAUCUAGCUUACAAAAAAAGGCAAAUCUGUCAGUUUGGACAUAUUUUCAGAAAGCCAAUAACGGUUCUAAAACUACAGUUUCUACGAGUAACAUGUCUGUAAUGCAGCUGGCUGCAAAUUAGUUCACUGAGCAGCUAACUCUACCUCCUCGUCAUCUAUAACUGAUUUAUUUAUCUACCUUUUUAUCUACAUCUUCGUCUGCUUCUUGUUGUUUUCCGUUUUAUUUUCGUCUGCUGACUCAGGUGGAUCAUUUCUAGUGUGCCUCUCUUGUGGUUUUACGUCUGUCCGCCUAUUUUUAACCUCUGUAAAGCCCCUUUGUGUUGCACUCGGCUGUAUGAAAACCGCUCCGUAAAUAAAGUUUGAGUUGUUUCCACUACUCUACAAAUAGAAUAGCAACAAUUUCUGAUAUUCUGCUCAAUAAGCAUGCAAGAACUACUAAAUGUAAUAGGUGUCCAUGCUGUAUUUCUAAAUACCAAAAUGACAAUAAAUGACUGUUAAAUGUUU